AUUCAAACAAUUAAUUGAUUGUCAGUCCCAUGGUAGCCUAUGUCAACUCUCCAUAGGACCAACUAUCACCUGGGUUCAGAGAUGAACAUUUUCGAAGUUUAGCAAUCUAUUGCUGAGCCAAGGGGCCAAGACCCAGAGAUUUUCGUUUAUGGGUUGGAAUAUGAAACUGGAGAAAAUUGAUGAGGUUAGGCAGGCGAUCCUAUUCUUGUCAUGCACAAGCAUGGUGUCGAAACCACACAACUUUACUCAGUGACAGAUGUUAUGAUCUAGAACCCCACUACCUCCCGCUCCAUAAGUGUCAAGUUGGCAAUGAGGGCAUCCGACAGGCAACAACAUGAAUUUUUUGACAGAAACAAUCUCGUAAGAUAAUAUUAUGCUUGAUAUAAUAAGAUGAUUGACCAUCAAAUAGGUAAUUAAGAUGCAACAUGAAGUACAUAAAAAUAGACUGUUGCACAUAAAUAUAACACAAGCUUGGCUUGGUACUCAGUUACCAAUGCAAGUUUAACAACAAAGGUAGCAUUACAAGACAAGUUGACAUAUGUGCACUACCAGCUCUGCCAUGCAAACUGUAACCAGAUUAUUUCGGGAUUCUUUUGAAACACUACAACCAGGAUAAUAACGUAUAACCAAUUAUCAUAAAUCUGGAGCAUAACUCUACAAUUGUUUUGGGGAAAUUCCUGAAAUUGGAUUGAGUAGUGGUAUGUUCCCUUUUAAAUAUGUCGAGGCCUAUAAGUAGCUGACGACAUAUCAUCAUCUAAUGGAUCCUAAAUAAUCGUCUACCUACAUUGUUUUAUCUAUCGGUAGCCAUCAUGGGCAGGACAUAAAACAACAGAUAGUGAUCUUUACCCCAUUUCUGACAAUUCCUGGCAAUUGACCAGAGCUUAGAAUGAGAACCUUUGAGAUAAUAUAUAUGUUUAUCAAGUCAGGUCUGGUGCAAUAACCCCGGAAAUGCUUUUUAAAAAAAAAUUCUCCUCGUUAGGCAAAAAACACCAAUUCCUGGAAAUGUGCUGAAAGUUGUUCAUAAAAUUGGUGUAUAAAAAUUGUAUAAAACAUUUCUUUAUCUAAUAAUUUACAUCUUUAUCAGACAUUCUACCAAUAAUAUUUUUUACUACUAUGUGUAUACCGUUGGACGGAGGAAUCAUAUUUUUAUUUUUUAUUUUAAGUUUUUAAAAACUGAUUUAGGUAAUAGGAUUAUUAUUAUGUUAAAGC